rnacentral:rRNA from 1 species
UGGGGAAUUUUGGACAAUGGGGGAAACCCUGAUCCAGCCAUGCCGCGUGUCUGAAGAAGGCCUUCGGGUUGUAAAGGACUUUUGUCUGGGAGGAAAUCCCUAGCGUUAAUAGCGUUGGGGGAUGACAGUACCGGAAGAAUAAGCACCGGCUAACUACGUGCCAGCAGCCGCGGUAAUACGUAGGGUGCAAGCGUUAAUCGGAAUUACUGGGCGUAAAGGGUGCGCAGGCGGUGACACAAGCCAGAUGUGAAAUCCCCGAGCUUAACUUGGGAACGGCGUUCGGAACUGUGUCGCUAGAGUAUGUCAGAGGGGGGUAGAAUUCCUGGUGUAGCAGUGAAAUGCGUAGAUAU